UUGGUAAAAUAAACUAACCAGGAUUGGCAUUAACCUAGUUAAAUGACAACUUAUGAGUAGUUAAAAUGUUAAAACAAAAGAAAAAUGAAACUUGAGGGACUAAAGUUGUGUAAGUGAAAACUAGUAAUAAUAAAACAAAAAAAAAAUUAAAACACAACACUUGUUUGUGUUGUUGGGUUCGAUCAGAAGGCAGGGGGCGACUUCAAGCUCCCCAAAACCCUAGUUCACAUCAAAAACCAACAAUUGAAGGAUCAAAUCGAGUCCAAAACGAAAAUCGAGCAUAUAUUCGUGAUCCCCAUUGAAAGGAGAUCAUAAGUUUGUCGCCUAACGAGCUAGGUGGAGGCUUGGAAAAGAAGCGGUCAAACGAAUCAAGCACGAGAAGAAAACGUAUUCGGAUGCGAGGUAAGUAGAGCUUACGCCCCUUUACAUUAUUUGCAAAGUUACUUAAUUUCAAGUAAUGAUAUGAAUGCUACUAAGUGGUUGGUAUAUGAUAUUCCGACGCGAUUCAAUGAGAGUUGGAAUGAGGGGAAAAUGGUAAAUUAGUCAUGUAAUGACGAAUAAUUAAAAACGGUUUUAAGUAAAACAAGUUCAAAGAAAACCGGGAUAGGUAAAAGGGGUGAAAUGGUAAUUAAAUACCAUCUCAACACGGACAAAUGGUCAAUUAGACUAAAUGGGUCAAAUGGUGUGGAUAACACCAUUUGGCAAUAACAUUUGACAAUCGCUUGUUGAGUUUUGUGAUUUCAGGAAAUAACAUGUGUUGCGUUGCUUUAAUUAGAAAAUUUAAAGCAAGAAGUAUGUAAACGGGUCAAUACUAUGAUCCGAGCCAGGUGAAGAUGGGAUAAGCGGUUUGAAAGAUACGAAAGUUUUCGUGCAAAUAAACGGCAAAAUAGGAAGGCUGGAAUGCAGGGGCCACCGUAACUUACGGUGCCACCGUAAGUUACGGUGGAGCUGAAGGCUUUACGGCAGCCCCCUACUGAUUUACGGUAGGGGCAUGUCACACCAGGGGCCACCGUAACUUACGGUGCCACCGUAAGUUACGGUGGAGGCCAGUUGGAAAUCCAUGUUUUGAGAUCAAAAGUUUAACGUUCUUUUUGGAUGCCGGAAGACGAUCAAGCUCAUCGAAGGACCGAACACGAUAAAGAUACAUGCUUCCGCACAUUUCCUCGUCGUAAAUUUUUAAACGACAAACUCGAUCACUUAUGUUGAAUAACUUAUGAUUUGUAAAAGUUUUAAUAAACUCGUAUUUUCAUAGUAUGUGUAAACUUAAUUACA